AUAAAGAUGGCUCCCUCAUCAGGAAGCAGCCUACAGGUCACAUGACCAUCCAGCAUGUUUCCAGGUCUGAUGAAGGCCUCUACAAGUGUGACAUCAGCGGUCAUGGAGAGUCUCCAUCCAGCUGGAUCACUGUCACAGAAAAACAUAUAACCACGCCCCCUGACUCGUCCUUACUCCACUUUGUGAUUAGACUGCUCUUCCACCUGGUGAUGUUCUGUCCAUAUGUCAUCUCCACUCUCCUCAUGGUGUCUUUGUAUCGAAAGACAGCUAAAGGAAAAAUCUUCCGUGUCUCAAUCCUGCCCAUUCAGCCUGAGCAGGGACUGGACGAUGAGCAUUACGAUGUCAUCUCUGAUGUCACCACAGAGUAUCACUUCUGAAUCAGAGCUCUGUUGCUUCUCUUUAGGUCUCACUAACUUUGUCCUCUCCACCUCUGUUGUGAAUCUUAUCUGAAUAAAAGGACUCUGAUGUUCAUCUCUGGAUAUUUUUAUGUAGAUAAACAGCAAAUGUUCCCAAGAAAAUCUACUGGAGCUCUCAAUAGAAAUUAUAUUGACUUAUGAUUUU
ensembl:lncRNA